rnacentral:rRNA from 1 species
ACGGAGGGUGCAAGCGUUGUCCGGAUUUAUUGGGUUUAAAGGGUGCGUAGGCGGCGUAGUAAGUCCGUGGUGAAAGCCCACAGCUCAACUGUGGAACUGCCAUGGAUACUGCUAGGCUUGAGUACAGACGAGGUAGGCGGAAUGGAUAGUGUAGCGGUGAAAUGCAUAGAUACUAUCCAGAACACCGAUUGCGUAGGCAGCUUACUAGACUGUAACUGACGCUGAGGCACGAAAGCGUGGGGAGCGAACAGGA